rnacentral:rRNA from 1 species
UACGAAGGUGGCAAGCGUUGUUCGGAUUUACUGGGCGUACAGGGAGCGUAGGCGGUUGGGUUAGCCCUCCGCGAAACCGCCAGGCCUAACCCGGAAAGGGCGGAGGGGACUGCUCGGCUAGAGGAUGGGAGAGGAGCGCGGAAUUCCCGGUGUAGCGGUGAAAGGCGUAGAAAUCGGGAGGAAGGGCGGUGGCGAAGGCGGCGCUCUGGAACAUUUCUGACGCUGAGGCUCGAAAGCGUGGGGAGCAUACAGG